AGUGAACGCUGGCGGUAGGCCUAACACAUGCAAGUCGAACGGCAGCACAGAGGAGCUUGCUCCUUGGGUGGCGAGUGGCGGACGGGUGAGGAAUACAUCGGAAUCUACUCUGUCGUGGGGGAUAACGUCGGGCAACUUACGCUAAUACCGCAUACUACCUACGGGUGAACGCAGGGGACCUUCGGGCCUUGCGCGAUUGUAUGAGCCGGUGUCGGAGUAGCUAGUUGGCGGGGUAAAGGCCCACCAAGGCGACGAUCCGUAGCUGGUCUGAGAGGAUGAUCAGCCACACUGGAACUGAGAAACGGUCCAGACUCCUACGGGAGGCAGCAGUGGGGAAUAUUGGACAAGGGGCGCAAGCCUGAUCCAGCCAUACCGCGUGGGUGAAGAAGGCCUUCGGGUUGUAAAGCCCUUUUGUUGGGAAAGAAAUCCAGCUGGCUAAUACCCGGUUGGGAUGACGUUACCCAAAGAAUAGGCACCGGCUAACUUCGUGCCAUCCGCCGCGGUAA
rnacentral:rRNA from 1 species